rnacentral:rRNA from 1 species
CCUACGGGAGGCAGCAGUGAGGAAUAUUGGUCAAUGGGCGAGAGCCUGAACCAGCCACGUAGCGUGAAGGAUGACUGCCCUACGGGUUGUAAACUUCUUUUAUAAAGGAGUAAAGUGAUGCACGUGUGCCUUUUUGUAUGUACUUUAUGAAUAAGGAUCGGCUAACUCCGUUCCAGCAGCCGCGGUACUACGGAGGAUCGGAGCGUUAUCCGGAUUUAUUUGGUUUAAAGGGAGAGUAGACGGGUUGUUAAGUCAGUUGUGAAAGCUUGCGGCUCAACCGUAAAAUUGCAAUUGAUACUGGCAGCCUUGAGUACAGUAGAGGUAGGCGGAAUUCGUGGUGUAGCGGUGAAAUGCUUAGAUAUCACGAAGAACUCCGAUUGCGAAGGCAGCUUACUAGACUGCCACUGACACUGAUGCUCGAAAGUGUGGGUAUCAAACAGGAUUAGAUACCCCAGUAGUC